AAUUUAGCCGGAGGAAAGAACUAACUAGGAUUCCCUCAGUAGCUGCGAGCGAACAGGGAAGAGCCCAGCACCGAAUCCCGCGGCCGAUACCGGGCGCCGGGAAAUGUGGUGUUAGGGAGGAUCCGUUUAUCCCGAGGUCGUGCGGUGCGUCCAAGUCCUUCUUGAACGGGGCCACAGCCCAUAGAGGGUGCCAGGCCCGUAGUGACCGCUGCCGAUCGCGGGAGGAUCUCUCCUCAGAGUCGGGUUGCUUGAGAGUGCAGCCCUAAGUGGGUGGUAAACUCCAUCUAAGGCUAAAUAUGACCACGAGACCGAUAGCGAACAAGUACCGUGAGGGAAAGUUGAAAAGCACUUUGAAGAGAGAGUUCAAGAGUACGUGAAACCGUUCAGGGGUAAACCUGAGAAACCCGAAAGGUCGAAAGGGGAAAUUCAUUCGCGUUUCGGCUUUGUCGGCGUUGGAUGGUCGAGUGACGGAUGGCGUACGCGUCGUCCGCGCCUUCCUUUCUUCGAACCGGCGCCGAACGCGUGCACUUUUCCCCUAGUAGGACGUCGCGAUCCGUUGGGGUGUCGGUCUAAGGCACUUGCGGUGGAGCCCGUGCGGACGUUUCGGCGUCCGCUCGGACCCGUGGUGUCCCGGCCGACUCGCUCGACGGUAUACAGAUGGCGCGGGGCCGCUACUCAGUUAGCGUUCGGCCUGUGGCAAGCGCGUUCGGCGUUUGACGGCGAUCGGACCUGGUGCCGGUCCUGUCCCCGAACGACUGUUGGCUGCGG
rnacentral:rRNA from 1 species